UACGAAGGGUGCAAGCGUUACUCGGAAUUACUGGGCGUAAAGCGUGCGUAGGUGGUUUGUUAAGUCUGUUGUGAAAGCCCCGGGCUCAACCUGGGAAUGGCAAUGGAUACUGGCAAGCUAGAGUGCGGUAGAGGGUAGUGGAAUUCCCGGUGUAGCGGUGAAAUGCGUAGAUAUCGAGAGGAACACCUGCGGCGAAGGCGGGUUGCUGGGCUGACACUGACGCUGAUGCGCGAAAGCUAGGGGAGCGAACGGG
rnacentral:rRNA from 1 species